rnacentral:rRNA from 1 species
CCGCUCGUCACACCAUGGGAGUUUGUUGCACCAGAAGCAGGUAGCUUAACCUUCGGGAGGGCGCUUGCCACGGUGUGGCCGAUGACUGGGGUG